rnacentral:rRNA from 1 species
UACGUAGGGACCAAGCGUUGUUCGGAUUUACUGGGCGUAAAGGGCGCGUAGGCGGCAUAUUAAGUCAGCUGUGAAAUCUCCGAGCUUAACUCGGAACUGUCAGCUGAUACUGAUGUGCUAGAGUGCAGAAGGGGCAAUCGGAAUUCCCGGUGUAGCGGUGAAAUGCGCAGAUAUCGGGAGGAACACCGGUGGCGAAGGCGGUUCUCUGGGCCUUACCUGACGCUGAGGAGCGAAAGCGUGGGGAGCGAACAGG